UCGCUUCAGCAGCACAUAUACUAAAAUUGGAGCGAUACAGAGAAGAUUAGUAUGACCCCUGCACAAGGAUGACACACAAAUUCGUGAAACGUUCCAUAUAUAU
rnacentral:snRNA from 1 species